GAAAUGCGAUAAGUAAUGUGAAUUGCAGAAUUCAGUGAAUCAUCGAAUCUUUGAACGCACCUUGCGCUCCCUGGUAUUCCGAGGAGCAUGCCUGUUUGAGUGUCAUGGAAUUCUCAACUCUAUUUGCUUUUGUGAAUAGAGCUUGGAUUUGGAGGUUUAUUGCUGGUACUUGUGAUCGGCUCCUCUUGAAUGCAUUAGCUCGAACCUUUGCGGAUCAGCUAUCGGUGUGAUAAUUGUCUACGCCGUUGCAGUGAAGCAUAUCAAUGGGCUCGGCUUCCAAUCGUCCUUUACUGGACAAUGACUUUGACCUUUGACCUCAAAUCAGGUAGGAUUACCCGCUGAACUUAAGC
rnacentral:misc_RNA from 1 species